UUCAAAACGAAAAAAAAAAUUGCCAAAAAAGAAGUGGUAUAUCACUCGUCCGUGUCUUCAGCUCACAUGCACAUACGUCUCCUGUGUUUCUUUUUUUGUUUUUUUAGUUU
rnacentral:ribozyme from 1 species